GAAACCUCACAACCACACAAUUUUUCUUUUACCCUACUUUUCCGUCUCUCUACUCUCUCCAUCUCAAUCUAGAAAAUUCAUACCCAAAGACCAUUUCUUCUUACCCUAAUUUAUCGUGUCUAUCCUCGUAUCUCUCUGCUCCCUCCAUCUCAAUCUACAAACUUCACACCCUCUUGCCAAAAUCAAACACGAACUCAUCCUAGUUCUUCCCAAAUAAUCCACAAUAUCAGAAAAAUUAUACAAUAGUUAUCUAUUUUGGUUCUCACAUGAGUUUAAUCCGGUCCUGGUAACUGAUUUUGAACCAAGAAAUCGUAGAUCGUGAAUGUUGGAAAUUACGAAUCUUACGCAAAAUCAAAGGUGUACAGGAGAGUGCUGCAUUUACACUCUUUCUUUACACAAGACCAAAAAAGAAGAUACAUAGGAAGCCAAAUUGGUCCAGAUAUAGUACACAGAUUGCUUAAGUGGCGGGGCUGCGUACUGUGGAGGGAGGAGGGUAACCUUGGCGCGGGUAAACGGUUGAAGAUAAGCAUCCUUGGGAUAUCCUUCCGGUGAAUAAUCUAUUCCAGAAACUCAAAAGUCCAUCAGAUCCAUUCCCAAAAAUUGGCAAAAGAUGAUUCAAUCGAAGAAGAUAACUGAAAAAAGCUUACCUUGAGGAUGCGGCACAUCGACGGGAGGUUGAAACUUGUAGUUCAGCACACAACGCGAAGUUGCGCACCAACAAUCCCGUGGACAUCUUCUUCUUUGAUCCCAUAAAUAUGAAAUUUCUUUUUUUUACAGCUUCUAUUUGAGUUGAAGUUGAAGUCUCUAAACAUGUAUCUUUUAUCUUCUAUAUAUAAGCGUGCAAGUGAGGUAGUGAAUUGAAUAGGCUACUCCUCUACAAAUAGGAGUGGAUACCAAGUACCAACUCUGCAAAGACGCAAUAGGCCACUCCCCUACAAAUAUAGCCCGACACCUACUCUCUGAUUGGUCAAACACUUUACAAAA